UUUGUAUUUUAUUGUACCCUAUUGUAACAAUGCAAUGUUUUGUGGAGCCAGGACAUACUUGGAAACCAGAGAAAUCUCAAUGUGUCCAUCCUGGUAAAAUAUUUUAUAAAUAAAUAAAUGUACAUGUAUUUCAGGUAUCGUGCACACUUAUAUAUUUGUUAUGUUACUCAUUUUGAAACCUAUAUGUUACGUACAAUGCUUGUUUGUCCGUUAAUUGGUUUAAUAAAUUAACAAGGAAACAUAAGUUACAUUUGCUUGUACAAGUAGUCUAGUCAGGAGAGGUGUCUGUUGUGUUCAUGCGGUUCAAAUGCUAACAAUGUAGUAUUAUUGUGUGUUAGAAACAUUUUCAGAUACUUUUCCAGUACUUGAAGUGUUGCAAACUCUGCUUGGGCAGGAUUGGGACAGAUACAGUCCAUUUUUCACAGUGGAGUUGCGAUCACUUGUACGUCAUUAACUUUUCAUCUGCAGUCGUUAAUAUGUUGAUAUUAGACACAACAUUAAAACCACUGACAGGUGAAGUGAAUAACAUUGACUAUAUCAUUACAAUGGCACCUGUCAAAAGGUGAGAUGUAUUAGGUAGCAAGUGAACAGUCAGUACUUGCAUUUCAUGUGUUAGAAGCAGUAACAAUGGCAAGCAAAAUUACCCGAGUUACUUUGACAAGAGCCAUUUACAGUAGUGAUGGCUAGAUGACGGGUUCAGAGUAUCUAAAAAACAGCAAGUCUUGUGGGGUGUUCCAGGUUUGCAGUGGAGAGUACCUACCAAAUGUGGUGCAAGGAAGGACAAUCGUCAACCCUGUGUCAGGGGUGCCCAAGCUCAGUGAUGCACGUGGGAUCUGUAUAUGUUGUACGACAUUACUUUGUUUUUAUGUUUAUAUCAUGGUAGUAACCUGGAUGUCAAAUAACUUUUUCCUAUAAUACAUUUCUUCAUAUGACACAAAAUAAAGAUAACUAAAAAAUAGCUCAUUCCUAUGCAUGAAAUCGUUUGGAAAAGAAGUCCACAAACCUGUUAAGUUUAUAUAAUGUACUUGCUCACUAAAUUAAACCAAAUUAAAAUAUUGCACUCAUAAUGGAGUGAAAGGGCAGCAGUAAUAGAUGAUGACUGCUUAAAACAGAUUCACCUGUGUAUUGGAGGUGUGCCACUGGAAAAAGACUCAUAUCUCCUUGGUAACUUUAAGACAACAAAAUAAUUUUACAAAAACCAGAGAGAGUUAACGAUUGCAGUGGACAGGGAAAUGCCAAUCACUUUUCACUGUGUAUUUUGCAAUGAAAGGGUUAAUUAAAUCUCCCCAUCACAGAGGGAUCACAAAUGUCCUUGGUGGUAUGUCACACUUGUUAUGGGUCUCCAUCUCACAUGUCACCCACAGCCCUCCAACAUGAUUCCAACACAAUGACGUGAGACCCUCAAUUGUUUUCAGUGGUUUUGUUUCUGGUGGGUGUGGCUUUCAAACAAUGGAUCCAAAUCUG